rnacentral:rRNA from 1 species
AGCGAACGCUGGCGGCAGGCUUAACACAUGCAAGUCGAACGGGCAUCUUCGGAUGUCAGUGGCAGACGGGUGAGUAACACGUGGGAACGUACCCUUCGGUUCGGAAUAACUCAGGGAAACUUGAGCUAAUACCGGAUACGCCCUUUUGGGGAAAGGUUUACUGCCGAAGGAUCGGCCCGCGUCUGAUUAGCUUGUUGGUGGGGUAACGGCCCACCAAGGCGACGAUCAGUAGCUGGUCUGAGAGGAUGAUCAGCCACACUGGGACUGAGACACGGCCCAGACUCCUACGGGAGGCAGCAGUGGGGAAUAUUGGACAAUGGGCGCAAGCCUGAUCCAGCCAUGCCGCGUGAGUGAUGAAGGCCUUAGGGUUGUAAAGCUCUUUUGUCCGGGACGAUAAUGACGGUACCGGAAGAAUAAGCCCCGGCUAACUUCGUG